rnacentral:tRNA from 1 species
UUAAUUAUAGCUAACGUAAGCAAUAUCACUGUUAAUGAUAAGAUAAGUAUCAACUUUAAUUAAG